UCGACGGAGGCGAUGGGGGAGACGGGGUUAUUUGCCGUCGGACAGUCCUUGGUUAUGAUGAAGGGCUUGAUGGACCGUUGCCUCAACCGUGAAGCGGCUCUGGAACGGGUACGGUCAAAAC